CCUACGCGACAAAAAAUCGAGCUCGGGUAAACGAACACACAGGAUGAUGCGUUCUACUUGAGAGGAGGCAGAGUAGUGACGCAAACGGACAGAUAGAGAGAGAAAGAGAGAGAGAUAGAAAGAAGAGAGACGCAUGCAAACUUACCAGAGGAAGUUGGGACAGAUAGAGUAGCUUAUGGUGAUUCGAAGUAUCUCCGAUCAACGCCACUAUUGCACGCACCAAUACAGCAAUACAGGAGAGAUCGUUAUGCACAAUAUCGAGUAGUUUUUUUUCUUUACAUUUCACCCGUACACUGUCCGCGAAUCCGCAAAAAAAAGAAAACUAUCUACAUAUAUAUAUACUUCAACGUUCGGCACUCCCGACCCCUUCUCGAUCCGGGGGUCAACAACGAAUCGAGCAUUAAAUAACAUUAAAUAAAUCGUCGAUCAUUCGCAAAGAAAGGAAUCAUGCCGAUCGACUCGGCAUGCAAAAUCGUAUACGAUACAAAAAUUUCCAGAAGGAAUUUCCACGUCGAACAAGUCGAGGAUACCGAUCGUUGCUCGUCCUUCGAUAGAGGGGGUGGGGGGGGGAUGGGAGAAUUAUUCGAGAGGCAUCCUAUGCGUAAGAUAAAUUAAAUUCGAGAAGUGACGAAUUUGAACAGGCGAGUGGACGAGCGCGUGGAUGAAACGAGAAAC